rnacentral:rRNA from 1 species
CAUGUCNCUUCNNAAGGCUUUUACCUGNAAGUCNGANGUAACUCGGGCUUCGGCCUGGUGGCGAGUGGCGAACGGGUGAGUAAUGUAUCGGAACGUGCCCAGUAGCGGGGGAUAACUACGCGAAAGCGUGGCUAAUACCGCAUACGCCCUACGGGGGAAAGCGGGGGACCUUCGGGCCUCGCACUAUUGGAGCGGCCGAUAUCGGAUUAGCUAGUUGGUGGGGUAACGGCCUACCAAGGCGACGAUCCGUAGCUGGUUUGAGAGGACGACCAGCCACACUGGGACUGAGACACGGCCCAGACUCCUACGGGAGGCAGCAGUGGGGAAUUUUGGACAAUGGGGGCAACCCUGAUCCAGCCAUCCCGCGUGUGCGAUGAAAGCCUUCGGUGUUGUAAAGCACUUUUGGCAGGAAAGAAACGGCACGGGCUAAUAUCCUGUGCAACUGACGGUACCUGCAUAAUAAGCACCGGCUAACUACUUGCCAGCAGCCGCGGUAAUACGUAGGGUGCAAGCGUUAUCGGAAUUACUGGGCGUAAACGUGCGCAGGCGUUCCGGAAGAAAGAUGUAAAAUCCCAGGCUUAACCUUGAACUGCAUUUUUA